UCGGGAAUUUUGCGCAAUGGACGAAAGUCUGACGCAGCAACGCCGCGUGAGGGAUGACGGCCUUCGGGUUGUAAACCUCUUUUGUCAGGGACGAUGAUGACGGUACCUGACGAAUAAGCCACGGCUAACUACGUGCCAGCAGCCGCGGUAAUACGUAGGUGGCAAGCGUUGUCCGGAUUUACUGGGCGUAAAGAGCGCGCAGGCGGUCGUUCAAGUCGCGUGUGAAAGCCCCCGGCUCAACUGGGGAGGGUCACGCGAUACUGAUCGACUCGAAGGCAGGAGAGGGUAGUGGAAUUCCCGGUGUAGUGGUGAAAUGCGUAGAUAUCGGGAGGAACACCAGUGGCGAAGGCGACUACCUGGCCUGUUCUUGACGCUGAGGCGCGAAAGCUAGGGGAGCAAACGGGAUUAGAUACCCCGGUAGUCCUAGCCGUAAACGAUGGACACUAGGUGUUGGUGGUAUCAACCCCGCAGUGCCGAAGCUAACGCAUUAAGUGUCCCG
rnacentral:rRNA from 1 species